rnacentral:rRNA from 1 species
ACGAAAGUCUGACCGAGCAACGCCGCGUGAGUGAAGAAGGUUUUCGGAUCGUAAAGCUCUGUUGUAAGUCAAGAACGUGUGUGAGAGUGGAAAGUUCACACAGUGACGGUAGCUUACCAGAAAGGGACGGCUAACUACGUGCCAGCAGCCGCGGUAAUACGUAGGUCCCGAGCGUUGUCCGGAUUUAUUGGGCGUAAAGGGAGCGCAGGCGGUCAGGAAAGUCUGGAGUAAAAGGCUAUGGCUCAACCAUAGUGUGCUCUGGAAACUGUCUGACUUGAGUGCAGAAGGGGAGAGUGGAAUUCCAUGUGUAGCGGUGAAAUGCGUAGAUAUAUGGAGGAACACCAGUGGCGAAAGCGGCUCUCUGGUCUGUCACUGACGCUGAGGCUCGAAAGCGUGGGUAGCGAACAGGAUUAGAUACCCUGGUAGUCCACGCCGUAAACGAUGAGUGCUGGGUGUUAGGCCCCUUCCGGGGCUUAGUGCCGGAGCUAACGCAAUAAGCACUCCGCCUGGGGAGUACGACCGCAAGGUUGAAACUCAUAGGAUUGACGGGGGCCCGCACAAGCGGUGGAGCAUGUGGUUUAAUUCGAAGCA